GGAGAUGAAGUCAUUCUGGAAAUACUAUUCGGGUCAGGAGGUUGCCCCAGUUCCCACGAUUUUUAUCGGUGGAAAUAAUGAAGCUUCCAAUUAUUUAUGGGAAUUGUAAGUCACCCCCUUUUCUUCAUAUGUUCUAGCUCGGGGACUCUGAUUCUUUUAUGAAAAGGCCUUGAAUUUUACCUUCUGCUAAACUUUAGGUAUUAUGGGGGAUGGGCAGCACCUAAUAUAUACUUCUUGGGGUAUGCUGUGGUUGUGAAGUUUGGCAAUAUCCGUAUCGAUGGACUUUCCGGAAUUUACAAUGCGCGUAAUUAUUGUUUAGGUUGGGUAUGAAGUUCUUUUCUUGUCUAUUCUAUGUUUAUUCUGGAGUUCUUUUAAUGGUGAUUGUAUAUUUACUGCAAGCGAGUGUCAGAUAUGUUAUAUUGAUUCUUAUUUAGGGUGGAGAGUCGAAGCUUUGAAACUGAAAUGAAUUAGCUUUUCCUUGAGCAGGACACCAUGAAAUGCCACCUUAUAAUGACAAUACUAUCAGGUCUGUGUAUCAUGUUCGGGAGUACGAUGUUCACAAGCUCAUGCUCCUAGAGAAACUGAUUGAUAUUUUCCUUUCAC
rnacentral:lncRNA from 1 species